rnacentral:lncRNA from 1 species
CUGGAAAGAAUUUUUCUUAAUUGAGGAAGCCAAGGCCCCAGAAAAAAUGAACACAUGCACUGUCUUGGGUUUGUAUAAUGUUUUACUGUUAUGAAAGGGCUUCUGGUUCACUGUUGUUAUUCGACCCCUCCCCAGCUCCCCGUGUUGGACACAGGAUAUCCUGUGUAUCCUGUGUAUCCAGGGUAUCCAGAGGUUGAUGAUCCCAAUAGCCAGUACGGUCAUUGUCCCAGGGGCAUGGAUGUGACAAGCCUUACUUCUCACUGGCACCACAUCCUUGUGGCAGGAUUUCGGGUGUGGCGAGGAGAAGGUGGAGAUGUAAUUCCUCAGAUUGCGAGACUUGGGAUCCUGGCUGUUUUGCAUACGUUGACUGCGGGCUCUGGCUCAGAUGGGGAAAUUGAGGCCCACAGAGAUCUGAGAUCUGCAAGGAGGCUGAGGAGUGGAACACCUUGAUUACUAAGCUAAGGGAUCUCACUCUGCAGUGCAGGCCAGUAAUGUUUCAACAUUUCCUCUUUGAAUGCUUAUUCAUUAACCCACUUCCUACAAGCCAUGUGACCAGAUGUCCCAAGAGAAGUUCCUUUGGGAUGAAGCUAACUCUUGUCCUUUGUAUACAAUUGUGUAAUAGUGCUAUUGAGGUGGUGGCAAGAAGCAUGUGGAGCAAUCACCUAGAGGCGGGCCAAGGAUCCAGAAGCUUCAGCUUCUCAUCCCGCAGUCAGUGUGUUUGCUGGCCCAGACUGAAUCCUGAGCUCUCCCACAGUUAGACAAGAAGCAUUCAUCCUCAGGACAAGUGGCUCUGCCCCUCCUCCCACCACAGACCCGAAGCAAUAAAUGGCCAGAGGAUACUGGAGUGCAAAAGUGACCUUGCGUGACCCAGAUAUUCACUCACUAUUUUUUCCUCCUAAUUCCUGAGCACUUCCCACCACUGGU